AAUGAAGGUAAAAUGAGGUAAAAUAUUUAAAGAAAUAAAUUUUAAUAUUUCAUAUAAAACUAAGUGAAUCUUCUUUGUAAUUGUAGAAAAUAAUUAAUUCUUGUAUAAAGCUUUUUGUAUAAAAAGAUAUAGUUAAAAAGUCUAUAAUGUUAUGUAACUUUUGAUAUAAGUAUUAGAUGAGAAAUUCUUCUUAUUUGACACUUAGCGACAUAAAUAAGGUUUGACAGCUUAAACUCUUAGAAGUAUUUCCUUUAGCAAAUAUAUUUAUUCUUCCCUAUUGUUCACCUAGAAUUCUUUCUAACUAAAUAAUCGGAUUUCCCUAAUGGUCGUAAAAACAAAGUAUUAAGUAAUUAAAAAUAGUAACCCCAAACAAUGCACAAAUGUGAAUAAGAUAAAAGAGAUCUAACCAAUAGAAACUGUCCUUAUAAAAAUAAAUAUUCUAAAAGUCAUUUUGAUUGGUGAAUAAAACAAGUCCAACCAGCACGUGUUCUAGGAGUUUAAAAUAGGAAACCCUAAGGAAUCAAACAUUAAUUUACUCGUAUGGUUGGACUCGAAAUAAACAUAUAUUGACAUCUUUGUUUUAUUCACCAG
rnacentral:lncRNA from 1 species